CUAAAAGUUAUCAUUCUAACAAUCACACUGCUACCAAUAACAUGACUCUCUAAAAAUCCUAUACUCUGGAUGAAUAUAACCACUCACAGCCUAAUUAUCAGCUUUAUUGCCCUAUUAUUCUUUAAUCAAUUCAACGACAAUCUAUUCAACUCCUCAUCAACUUUCUCCUCUGAUCCCCUAACAUCACCCCUUCUAAUCUUAACAGCCUGGCCAUUACCUCUUAUAAUUACAGCAAGCCAGUAUCACCUCUCCAGUGAAUCCCUCCCACAGAAAAAGCUCUAUAUUUCCAUAUUGAUCUCCCUACAGGUUUUUCUAAUUACAGCAUUUACAGCCACAGAACUAAUUAUAUUUUAUAUUCUCUUUGAAACUACACUUAUCCCCACCUUAAUUAUUAUUACCCGCUGGGGCAACCAACUAGAAUGCCUCAAUGCAAGCACAUAUUUCUUACUUUAUACACUAGUAGGAUCUCUCCCCCUACUUAUUAUACUUACUUACACCCAAAAUAUCCUAGGCUCACUGAGCAUAAUAACAUUUAAUACCCAACAACUAUUAAUUUCCUGAUCCAACAACUUUAUAUGGUGUGUAUAAUGGCUUUUAUGCUAAAAAUACCCCUAUACGGACUUCACCUAUGACUUCCUAAAGCCCAUGUAGAAACUCCUAUUGCCAGUUCAAUAGUACUUGCAGCAGGACUCCUAAAACUAGGCGGCUAUGGCAUAAUACGACUUAACCCUUAUCCUCAGCCCCCUGACAGAAUAUAUAGUCUAUCCCUUCCUCAUGUUAUCCUUAUGAGGUAUAGUUAUGAGAAGCUCUAUCUGUCUAUGACAAACUGAUCUAAAGUCACUUAUUGCAUAUUCCUCCGUAAGCCAUAUGGCACUUGUUAUUAUGGCUAUCCUUAUUCAAAUCCCCUGAAGCUUUAUCUUGCUAUUAUCCUCAUAAUUGCCCACGGACUUACUUCGUCCCUACUUUUCUGCCUAGCAAAUUCAAACUACAAGCGAACCCACAGCCGAAUCAUAUUACUCUCUCAAGGGCUUCAAAUAUUAUUUCCACUAAUACCCUUUUGCUUAUAGCAAAUCUUACUAACCCUGCCUUACCCCCCUCCACUAAUCUAAUAGGUGAACUCCUCGUAAGAGUGGCUUCACUCUCCUGAUCAAAUAUUACCAUUAUGCUUAUAGGAUGUAAUAUAUUAAUUACAGCCCUUUAUUUCCUUCACAUCCUUGUCACAACACACCAGCAAACACUUACUUAUUAUAUUAACAGUAUUAAGCCCUCCUUUACAUGAAAAACUAUAUUAAUAUUUAUACACCUUUCACCUAUUCUAUUAUCUCUAAACCCUAAAAUUAUUAUACAGUCUAUACCC
rnacentral:lncRNA from 1 species